rnacentral:rRNA from 1 species
AACGCGAAGAACCUUACCUGGGUUUGACAUGCACCAGACGCCGGUAGAGAUGCCGGUUCCCUUGUGGUUGGUGUGCAGGUGGUGCAUGGCUGUCGUCAGCUCGUGUCGUGAGAUGUUGGGUUAAGUCCCGCAACGAGCGCAACCCUCGUUCCAUGUUGCCAGCGCGUGAUGGCGGGGACUCAUGGGAGACUGCCGGGGUCAACUCGGAGGAAGGUGGGGAUGACGUCAAGUCAUCAUGCCCCUUAUGUCCAGGGCUUCACACAUGCUACAAUGGCUCAUACAGAGGGCUGCGAGACCGUGAGGUGGAGCGAAUCCCUUAAAGUGGGUCUCAGUUCGGAUCGGGGUCUGCAACUCGACCCCGUGAAGUUGGAGUCGCUAGUAAUCGCAGAUCAGCAACGCUGCGGUGAAUACGCUCCCGGGUCUUGUACACACCG